rnacentral:rRNA from 1 species
GGAGGGGGCUAGCGUUAUUCGGAAUUAUUGGGCGUAAAGGGCGCGUAGGCGGCCCGGUAAGUCAAAGGUGAAAUCCCUCGGCUCAACUGAGGAACUGCCUUGAAACUGUCGGGCUUGAGGCCGGGAGGGGGUAGCGGAAUUCCCAGUGUAGCGGUGAAAUGCGUAGAUAUUGGGAGGAACACCGGUGGCGAAGGCGGCUACCUGGACCGGUUCUGACGCUGAUGCGCGAAAGCGUGGGUAGCAAACAGGAUUAGAUACCCUGGUAGUCCACGCUGUAAACGAUGGGUGCUCGGUGUCGCGGGUAUCGACCCCUGCGGUGCCUUAGCUAACGCGUUAAGCACCCCGCCUGGGGAGUACGGUCGCAAGACUG